CAACCCACGAUUUUCUCAUGAGGUGAACAUGCAGAAGGUAAAGCCUGAGCCCUCUGAUAUGCCUGUGGGUCUGCAGGGCUCCAGCCUUCUGACCAAGACCCAUUCAUGACGAGUGCAAAUAAACACCCAGGGACAGCAGGAGGAGCUGGGUUGAGGCUGGCGGAGACACACACAAUCGCAUGCUGGUGGUCUCCAUGAGAAUGUUGUUCGCCCCAAGCUUGCUGUUAUUGUUUUGUUUAUUGCCAUUUUUAUGUAGCCAAAAUCUUUACUUCUUUGGUUAAUUUUUUUUUUUUUUAAACGGAGUCUCACACUGUCACCCGGGCUGGAGUGCAAUGGUGAAAUCUCCACUCAUUGCAACAUCUGCCUCCCAGGCUCACUCAAUUCCCCUGCCUCAGCCUCCCUAGUAGCUAGGAUUACAGGUGCCCACCACCACACCUGGCUUUUUAAAAUAUAUAUAUAGUAGAGAUGGGUUUCACCAUAUUGGCUAGGCUGGUCUCGAACUCCUGACCUCAGGUGAUCCAUCCACCUUGGCCUCCCAAAGUGCUGAGAUUACAGGCAUGAGCCACUGUGUCCGGCCAUUCUUUGGUUAAAUUCUAAGCAUUUAAGGCAUCUUAGAAGCACCUCCAUGGAACCCUGGGACAUUUAGGAACCCAGGUGGAAAUCAUCAGACUAAAACCAUGAAUAGCACUUAUCUCUGGGUGGUGAGAUUUCUGUUUGUUUUUUUUUUUAAAAAGAACCUGCUUUAUGAAUCUGAGUACUCCUGUGUUUGGUGCACCUAUAUUCAGGAUAGUUAGAUCUUCUUGCUAAUUUGAACCCUUCACCAUGAUGUAAUGCCUUGUCUUCGUUCAUCUUUGUUGGCUUACAGUCUGCUUUGUCUGAAGUUAGGAUUGCUUUUUUCUGGUUUCCAUUUGCUUGGUGGGUUUUUCUCCAUCCCUUUAUUUUAAGCCUAGGGAUGUCACUGCAUAUUAAAUCGGUCUCUUGAAGACAGCAUGCUAUUCAGCCUUGCUUCUUUGUCCAGCCUGCCACUCUGUGCCUUUUUUUUUUAAUUGUACUUUAAGUUAUGGGGUACAUGUGCAAAUCUAGCAGGAUUGUUGCAUAGGUACACACAUGCCAUGGUGGUUUGCUGUCUCCAUCCCCCCAUCACCUACAUCAGGCAUUUUUCCCAGUGUUAUCCCUCCCCAACCUCCCCACCCCCCAUUGUCCCUCCCCUAGCCCC
rnacentral:lncRNA from 1 species